rfam:Oribacterium sp. oral taxon 078 str. F0262 genomic scaffold Scfld7, whole genome shotgun sequence.
UGGUUAAGCGAAAAGAGCACAGGGUGAAUGCCCAGGCACUGAGAGCCGAAGAAAGACGUGAUAAGCUGCGAAAAGCGGCGGGGAUUGGCAAAUACGAGGUGAUCCGCCGAUAUCUGAAUGGGGAAACCCACCGGAGUAAUCCUCCGGUACCGCAGGGUAAAUCCAUAGCCAUGCGGAGGGAACCCGCCGAACUGAAACAUCUCAGUAGGCGGAGGAAGAGAAAACAACCGUGAUUCCGAGAGUAGCGGCGAGCGAAAUCGGAGGAGCCCAAACCGCGGUGCGUGCACCGCGGGGUAAGGACCGCGAAAAAGUUCGAAGAGGGAGUGGAAGCGCGCUGGAAAGCGCCGCCAUAGAGGGUGAGAGCCCCUUACACGAAGCUUGAAGAAUGGCGCGGGAUCCGGAGUACNNNNNNNNNNNNNNNNNNNNNNNNNNNNNNNNNNNNNNNNNNNNNNNNNNNNNNNNNNNNNNNNNNNNNNNNNNNNNNNNNNNNNNNNNNNNNNNNNNNNAGCCCGGAUCUACAGCUAAGGUCCCAAAGUGCGUGUUAAGUGGGAAAGGAUGUGAGAUCUCAGAGACAACUAGGAUGUUGGCUCAGAAGCAGCCACACAUUCAAAGAGUGCGUAAUAGCUCACUAGUCGAGAGGUCCUGCGCCGAAAAUUCACGGGGCUGAAACACGACACCGAAGCUUAGGGAUGGAGAAAUCCAUCGGUAGAGGAGCAUUGAAAACCCAUAGAAGCAGGACUGGAAGGUUCUGUGGAGAGUUUUGAAGAGAGAAUGCCGGAAUGAGUAGCGAGAUGGAGGUGGGAAUCCUCCAGGCCGAAAAUCUAAGGUUUCCAGGGUAAAGCUGAUCUGCCCUGGGGAAGUCGGGGCCUAAGGCGAGGCUGAAAAGCGUAGUCGAUGGAGAACUGGUGAAGAUUCCAGUACCGAAUGAUAUCAGAACUGCGGGGACACAUGGGGGAAGGAAGAGCUGGGAGAGAGAAGACCGGUGCAAGCGCCGAAAGGCGUGAAGCGGAACGAAGAAAAGUAGGGAAGCUUCCGGAGACUGUGGCGAGAAAAGCCGCUAUUGUGUAUCAUGAGCCCGUACCGCAAACCGACACAGGUAGAUGAGGAGAGAAUCCUAAGGCCGACGGGAGAAGCAUUGUUAAGGAACUCGGCAAAAUGACCCCGUAACUUCGGGAGAAGGGGUGCCCACGGGAGUGGGCCGCAGAGAAAAGGCUCAAGCAACUGUUUAGCAAAAACACAGGUCUAUGCGAAACCGAAAGGUAAAGUAUAUGGGCUGACGCCUGCCCGGUGCUGGAAGGUUAAGAGGAGAGGUUAGCGAAAGCGAAGCUUUGAAUUGAAGCCCCAGUAAACGGCGGCCGUAACUAUAACGGUCCUAAGGUAGCGAAAUUCCUUGUCGGGUAAGUUCCGACCCGCACGAAAGGCGUAAUGAUUUGAGCGCUGUCUCAACAAUGCACCCGGUGAAAUUGAAGUACCAGUGAAGAUGCUGGUUACCCGCGCCAGGACGGAAAGACCCCAUGGAGCUUUACUCCAGCUUGAUACUGGGAUUCGGCAGUGUAUGCACAGGAUAGGUGGGAGACUAGGAGGAGAGAACUUCGGUUUUCUCGGAGUCGCUGUUGGGAUACCACCCUUAUGCUGCUGGAUUUCUAACCGAAGGCCGUAAGCCGGCCGCGGGACACUGUCAGGUGGGGAGUUUGACUGGGGCGGUCGCCUCCGAAAGGGUAUCGGAGGCGCUCAAAGGUUCCCUCAGGAUGGUUGGAAACCAUCCGUAGAGUGCAAAGGCAGAAGGGAGCCUGACUGCGAGGGCGACGGUCCGAGCAGAGUAGAAAUACGGACUUAGUGAUCCGGUGGUAUGAAAGUGGGAUUGCCAUCGCUCAACGGAUAAAAGCUACCCUGGGGAUAACAGGCUGAUCUCCCCCAAGAGUUCACAUCGACGGGGAGGUUUGGCACCUCGAUGUCGGCUCAUCGCAUCCUGGGGCUGAAGUCGGUCCCAAGGGUUGGGCUGUUCGCCCAUUAAAGCGGUACGCGAGCUGGGUUCAGAACGUCGUGAGACAGUUCGGUCCCUAUCCGGCGCGGGCGCAGGAUAUUUGAGAGGAUCUGUCCUUAGUACGAGAGGACCGGGAUGGACUGACCUCUGCUGUACCUGUUGGGAAUCGAUCCCACAGCAGGGUAGGCAAGUCGGGAAUGGAUAAACGCUGAAAGCAUCUAAGCGUGAAGCCAACCUCAAGAUGAGAUAUCCCAUCGAAAGAGUAAGACCCCUUUGAGAGAAAGAGGUAAAUAGGGCUGAGGUGGAAGUGCUGCAAAGCAUGCAGCUGACAGCUACUAAUCGGUCGAGGGCUUAUCCAUA